AUAAAUAUUAUAAGAAAAACAAAGACAUGGGAACAGACUUGGGAAUUGGAUUUUCUCAGGCAAGCUUUCUGUCCCGCUCUCUUGAACUCCAUCUCGGAAGAAAUACAAAUGGAUCACAGGUGGAAGAUAUCACUGGGAGGAGAAAUGCAGCCGAUAUCAUAGGACAUGCAGAAAAAUAAUUUGGAACCCGGGACCCAUAUCUCUUUUUAUGAAAGAAACAGACAUCCAAUUAUGGGAAAAUGGAACAUGUAUAAAGGUCAGAUGUUGUUUUUCUCUGGUGUGCAGUGUGGGGAGCAGUACCUUGGGA